CAAGGGUGAGGGUCCACAGGUCUGGCCCCCAGAUGCACCCUGGAGCAAUGAGGGCGCCCGGGGCAGGGACUUUUACCAGCCUUCCCUGGUGGAGGCAAGAUUCACAAUGCAAACUCUUCUCCAAUGCAGGGACAGAUGACCAAACCUUGCAGACAGCGGCGGGAGCUGGAGGGACUUUGUUGAGGACUGGGACCCAGGUGCGGUUGCUGCAAUGCUCUCUGCUUUGGCAGAGAAAAGAUGCAGAUUCCCAGGUCACACCAAGUGACCUCUCCAGAACCUGGAACAGCCUCUGUGUGGACUGCCAUGGGAGAGCUGGAGCCACCACAGAAUCUUGCUCACCCCAGGGAGGUGGCAGCAAUAGGAUCAUCACGACUUUUCACCUUGACCUUUCACCACAGCCUGACCCCUCCAAGGUAGCUGCUCAAUGCCAGUUUGUGGAUCGACAUGUGAUUCUUACAUUUGCAACAACAUCUUCUGUGAGUAGCCUGCUCCCCCAGCACGAGGAAAAUGACACUGAUCCUGAGAGGAUUUGAUUCGUGCAUUCUGGAGGGACAAGCCUGCCUGGAAAAGUCUCCUGCAGGAGAGGCAGACCAGGCUGCCCCAACCUGAGUGUGGACUCCAGCCCUGGGCUGCCGGGCGAUAUGUCCUCCCAUCCACCCACUACCCUCACCAGUCUCAGCAGCGACUCAGAAUCUCUGUCUGGGUCUGGUCCACCACCUUCCCCUAUUUGGACUUGAACUCCUUCAGGGCUGGCACAGUGACCCGUCAUCCUAUCAUGCCCACAGUGACCUGCUGGGUGCUGUGAGAUGUCAGUUUGGGCCCUGCUGUGUGCACCAACUUCACUGGUGAUACUGUUACCACCUUAAGGGUCAGAGAGGUUUAAGAACUCACCCAAAGUCA
rnacentral:lncRNA from 1 species